rnacentral:rRNA from 1 species
UACGUAGGGGGCAAGCGUUGUCCGGAUUUAUUGGGCGUAAAGAGCGCGUAGGCGGCCAAGCAGGUCCGCUGUGAAAACUCGAGGCUCAACCUCGAGACGUCGGUGGAAACCGUUUGGCUAGAGUCCGGAAGAGGGGAGUGGAAUUCCCGGUGUAGCGGUGAAAUGCGCAGAUAUCGGGAAGAACACCCGUGGCGAAGGCGGCUCUCUGGGACGGUACUGACGCUGAGACGCGAAAGCGUGGGGAGCGAACAGG